UUGAAAGGGAAACGAUUGAAGUCAGUCGUACCUGCGGGUAAUCAGCCUUUUGGGCAUGAUUCUGUGGAGCGUGAGGAGUUAAACGCCUUCAUGCCUGCAUAUUCGUGUACUUUGGGUGUACUUGCCUGUGUGGUUAGUUAACAUCAAUUUUGGUUAUCAUAAAAUGGUUGGAGGAAUGUAGCUUCGAUUUCGAUUGAAGUGUUAUAGCCUUCGGCAGAUGUGAUGAUCGGGAUUGAGGAUUGCAACGGGUACCCUUCGGGGCUACCUGUCUGGUCUCUGAUCGUUGCUUUGGUGCCGAAAGCGUGCUUACGGUUAUCAAAGUCGAUGGUCAAUAGGUUAGAACGGGUUAAAUUCGUUAAGGAUGUUGACGUA
rnacentral:rRNA from 1 species